CCAUUUACCUUCUUAUUGUCAAAGUGUCAUCCCCGGUGUGAAGCCGUGCUAGUCAUGACACUAAUCAAACUUCAAUUUCAACUCUCAAUAGUGUCAUCCCCAGUGUGACUGACCAAGUUGUCCUUUCAUUCUUACCUUUGUUAAGCUAUCUCAUCGAUAGUUAGGUAAAAGUAUCAUUUGUCUUUGUUAAGCUAUCAUUUCAACGAUAGUUAGACGAUGGUUUUUCUUUCAUUCUUACCUUUGUUAAGCUAUCUCAUCGAUAGUUAGGUAAAAGUAUAAUUUGUCUUUGUUAAGCUAUCAUUUCAACGGUAGUUAGACGAUGGUUUUUCUCUCAUUCUUACCUUUGUUAAGCUAUCUCAUCGAUAGUUAGGUAAAAGUAUCAUUUGUCUUUGUUAAACUAUCAUUUCAACGGUAGUUAGACGAUGGUUUUUCUUUCAUUCUUACCUUUGUUAAGCUAUCUCAUCGACGAUGGUUUUUCUCUCAUUCUUACCUUUGUUAAGCUAUCUCAUCGAUAGUUAGGUAAAAGUAUCAUUCGUCUUUGUUAAGCUAUCAUUUCAACGAUAGUUAGACGAUGAUUUUUCUCUCAUUCUUACCUUUGUUAAGCUAUCUCAUCGAUAGUUAGGUAAAAGUAUCAUUUGUCUUUGUUAAGCUAUCAUUUCAACGAUAGUUAGACGAUGGUUUUUCUCUCAUUCUUACCUUUGUUAAGCUAUCUCAUCGAUAGUUAGGUAAAAGUAUCAUUUGUCUUUGUUAAGCUAUCAUUUCAACGAUAGUUAGACGAUGGUUUUUCUUUCAUUCUUACCUUUGUUAAGCUAUCUCAUCGAUAGUUAGGUAAAAAUAUCAAUCGUCUCUGUUCAGCUAUCAAUACGAUAGUAGACAAUCAUUUUCCCCAAUGAAACUAUAUUCCCCUAACGGAGUCGGACCCCUUUUUCUUCAACGAAUUAGGGUAUCCCGUUAUUGUUUCUCAUUCCAGUCAAAUCACAUUUGUCGUCCUGCAUUCAUACUUGCAUCACAUGCAUUCAUAACAUCUUA
rnacentral:lncRNA from 1 species